GGCUCAGAUUGAACGCUGGCGGCAUGCUUUACACAUGCAAGUCGAACGGUAACAGGGAGCUUGCUCCGCUGACGAGUGGCGAACGGGUGAGUAAUAUAUCGGAACGUACCCAAGAGUGGGGGAUAACGUAGCGAAAGUUACGCUAAUACCGCAUACGAUCUAUGGAUGAAAGCAGGGGACCUUCGGGCCUUGUGCUCCUGGAGCGGCCGAUAUCUGAUUAGCUAGUUGGUGAGGUAAAGGCUCACCAAGGCGACGAUCAGUAGCUGGUCUGAGAGGACGACCAGCCACACUGGAACUGAGACACGGUCCAGACUCCUACGGGAGGCAGCAGUGGGGAAUUUUGGACAAUGGGCGCAAGCCUGAUCCAGCAAUGCCGCGUGAGUGAAGAAGGCCUUCGGGUUGUAAAGCUCUUUUGUCAGGGAAGAAACGGCUGUGGCUAAUAUCCACGGCUAAUGACGGUACCUGAAGAAUAAGCACCGGCUAACUACGUGCCAGCAGCCGCGGUAAUACGUAGGGUGCAAGCGUUAAUCGGAAUUACUGGGCGUAAAGCGUGCGCAGGCGGUUUUGUAAGUCUGUCGUGAAAUCCCCGGGCUCAACCUGGGAAUUGCGAUGGAGACUGCAAGGCUAGAAUCUGGCAGAGGGGGGUAGAAUUCCACGUGUAGCAGUGAAAUGCGUAGAGAUGUGGAGGAACACCGAUGGCGAAGGCAGCCCCCUGGGUCAAGAUUGACGCUCAUGCACGAAAGCGUGGGGAGCAAACAGGAUUAGAUACCCUGGUAGUCCACGCCCUAAACGAUGUCUACUAGUUGUCGGGUUUUAAUUAACUUGGUAACGCAGCUAACGCGUGAAGUAGACCGCCUGGGGAGUACGGUCGCAAGAUUAAAACUCAAAGGAAUUGACGGGGACCCGCACAAGCGGUGGAUGAUGUGGAUUAAUUCGAUGCAACGCGAAAAACCUUACCUACCCUUGACAUGUCAGGAAGACCGGAGAGAUCUGGUUGUGCCCGAAAGGGAACCUGAACACAGGUGCUGCAUGGCUGUCGUCAGCUCGUGUCGUGAGAUGUUGGGUUAAGUCCCGCAACGAGCGCAACCCUUGUCAUUAGUUGCUACGCAAGAGCACUCUAAUGAGACUGCCGGUGACAAACCGGAGGAAGGUGGGGAUGACGUCAAGUCCUCAUGGCCCUUAUGGGUAGGGCUUCACACGUCAUACAAUGGUACAUACAGAGGGCCGCCAACCCGCGAGGGGGAGCUAAUCCCAGAAAGUGUAUC
rnacentral:rRNA from 1 species